GGCGGCGUGCCUAAUACAUGCAAGUCGAACGCACUGACGUCGACAGAAGGUGCUUGCACUGGAAGUUGAUUGACGUGAGUGGCGGACGGGUGAGUAACACGUGGGUAACCUGCCCUUAAGCGGGGGAUAACAUUUGGAAACAGAUGCUAAUACCGCAUAAAAGUUGAGAUCACAUGGUCUUAAUUUGAAAGACGGCCUUUGGCUGUCACUUAAGGAUGGACCCGCGGCGUAUUAGCUAGUUGGUGAGAUAAUAGCCCACCAAGGCGAUGAUACGUAGCCGACCUGAGAGGGUAAUCGGCCACAUUGGGACUGAGACACGGCCCAAACUCCUACGGGAGGCAGCAGUAGGGAAUCUUCCACAAUGGACGAAAGUCUGAUGGAGCAACGCCGCGUGAGUGAAGAAGGUUUUCGGAUCGUAAAACUCUGUUGUUGGAGAAGAACAGGGACUAGAGUAACUGUUAGUCCUUUGACGGUAUCCAACCAGAAAGCCACGGCUAACUACGUGCCAGCAGCCGCGGUAAUACGUAGGUGGCAAGCGUUGUCCGGAUUUAUUGGGCGUAAAGCGAGCGCAGGCGGUUUCUUAAGUCUGAUGUGAAAGCCUUCGGCUUAACCGAAGAAGUGCAUCAGAUACUGGGAAACUUGAGUGCAGAAGAGGGAAGUGGAACUCCAUGUGUAGCGGUGAAAUGCGUAGAUAUAUGGAAGAACACCAGUGGCGAAGGCGGCUUUCUGGUCUGUAACUGACGCUGAGGCUCGAAAGUAUGGGGAGCGAACAGGAUUAGAUACCCUGGUAGUCCAUACCGUAAACGAUGAAUGCUAAGUGUUGGAGGGUUUCCGCCCUUCAGUGCUGCAGCUAACGCAUUAAGCAUUCCGCCUGGGGAGUACGACCGCAAGGUUGAAACUCAAAGGAAUUGACGGGGGCCCGCACAAGCGGUGGAGCAUGUGGUUUAAUUCGAAGCUACGCGAAGAACCUUACCAGGUCUUGACAUCUAGCGCCAAUCCUAGAGAUAGGACGUUCCCUUCGGGGACGCUAAGACAGGUGGUGCAUGGUUGUCGUCAGCUCGUGUCGUGAGAUGUUGGGUUAAGUCCCGCAACGAGCGCAACCCUUAUGAUUAGUUGCCAGCAUUUAGUUGGGCACUCUAAUCAGACUGCCGGUGACAAACCGGAGGAAGGUGGG
rnacentral:rRNA from 1 species